CUCACGCUGCCUCCCAUCGGUUGCGGGCACCCAGCAUCCUCAGCCUGCCAGCCGGCACCAGUGACACCCCAGACCUUCCCCGGGACCCCGGUACAUCCCCAGCGAACCCUGAACGAUGCAGAAGAGCCCAGCCCCGCAGGUUGCCGCUGUGUCCAGAUAACGCCUCCCUCUGGACUGCUGAAAAAUGCUGAAGAUGCUGAGGAAAGAAAGCUUGAAAAACUGAACCUCGUGGCACCAUGCUGAUGCACCUCGGAAAGCAACAGAAGAUGGCUCAAGUGCUUGGGCCUCUGCCACCUAUGUGGAAGACCACGAUGAAGCUCCUGGCACCUGACUUCUGGCUUCAGCCUGGCGCAGCCCCAGCCAUUGCAGCCAUAUGGGGAAUGAGCAAGCAGAUGGAAGAUCUUUCUC